rnacentral:rRNA from 1 species
ACGCUCGACACCUACGGGGGGCAGCAGUGGGGAAUAUUGCACAAUGGGGGAAACCCUGAUGCAGCGACGCCGCGUGAGCGAAGAAGUAUUUCGGUAUGUAAAGCUCUAUCAGCAGGGAAGAAAAUGACGGUACCUGACUAAGAAGCCCCGGCUAACUACGUGCCAGUAGCCGCGGUAAUCUGAGCGGGCUGGCAAGGC